UGGAUGGACCCGCGGUGCAUUAGCUAGUUGGUGAGGUAACGGCUCACCAAGGCCACGAUGCAUAGCCGACCUGAGAGGGUGAUCGGCCACAUUGGGACUGAGACACGGCCCAAACUCCUACGGGAGGCAGCAGUAGGGAAUCUUCGGCAAUGGACGAAAGUCUGACCGAGCAACGCCGCGUGAGUGAAGAAGGUUUUCGGAUCGUAAAACUCUGUUGUUAGAGAAGAACAAGGAUGAGAGUAACUGUUCAUCCCUUGACGGUAUCUAACCAGAAAGCCACGGCUAACUACGUGCCAGCAGCCGCGGUAAUACGUAGGUGGCAAGCGUUGUCCGGAUUUAUUGGGCGUAAAGCGAGCGCAGGCGGUUUCUUAAGUCUGAUGUGAAAGCCCCCGGCUCAACCGGGGAGGGUCAUUGGAAACUGGGAGACUUGAGUGCAGAAGAGGAGAGUGGAAUUCCAUGUGUAGCGGUGAAAUGCGUAGAUAUAUGGAGGAACACCAGUGGCGAAGGCGGCUCUCUGGUCUGUAACUGACGCUGAG
rnacentral:rRNA from 1 species